UGGGGGUAUUAGGAGGUUCUGAGGUCCCAUUCCUUUCUGUAGGUAUAAUAUCUUAAUAAAAAAUUAAAUAUUGUAUCACAGAUUGGACUGGGCCCUUUGACCAAUCAUCAUCAACUUAG
rnacentral:precursor_RNA from 15 species